rnacentral:rRNA from 1 species
AGCGAACGCUGGCGGCAGGCCUAACACAUGCAAGUCGAGCGCCGUAGCAAUACGGAGCGGCAGACGGGAGAGUAACACGUGGGAACGUACCCUUUGGUUCGGAACAACCCAGGGAAACUUGGGCUAAUACCGGAUAAGCCCUCACGGGGAAAGAUUCAUCGCCGAAGGAUCGGCCCGCGUCUGAUAAGCUAGUUGGUGGGGUAAUGGCCCACCAAGGCGACGAUCAGUAGCUGGUCUGAGGGGAUGAUCAGCCUCACUGGGACUGAGACACGGCCCAGACUCCUACGGGAGGCAGCAGUGGGGAAUAUUGGACAAUGGGCGCAAGCCUGAUCCAGCCAUGCCGCGUGGGUGAUGAAGGCCCUAGGGUUGUAAAGCCCUUUCGGCGGGGAAGAUAAUGACGGUACCCGCAGAAGAAGCCCCGGCUAACUUCGUGCCAGCAGCCGCCGCAGUAA